UACGAAGGAUGCGAGCGUUAUCCGGAUUUAUUGGGUUUAAAGGGUGCGUAGGCGGCCUUAUAAGUCAGUGGUGAAAUCCUAUCGCUUAACGAUAGACGUGCCAUUGAUACUGUAGGGCUUGAGUACAGAUGCCGUUGGCGGAAUGUGUCAUGUAGCGGUGAAAUGCAUAGAUAUGACACGGAACACCGAUUGCGAAGGCAGCUGACGAAACUGUAACUGACGCUGAGGCACGAAAGCGUGGGGAUCAAACAGG
rnacentral:rRNA from 1 species